GCAAACAAAACACGUCGGGGAAACCAGACCGCCGCGGAGAGGGACAGCGCCCAGCAAAAGCGAGGCUGAUGGAGCGAAGCCAGGAAGAGGAUGCGGAGACGCGGGGGUCUGUCUGGCUAUGUCACCCAGGCUGGCCUCCAACUCCUGAGCUCAAGCCAUCCUCCUGCCUCAGCCUUCUGAGUAGCUGAGACUACAGACCCACAGUUGAUUAACGUCACCACUGGAUCUGGGAAAAAUGGCUUAUGGGCAGUUUCACAUCAUAAAAUCUUCUUGCUAUUAUUAAACAGAAAAAAAACGCUUGUGAGCUCAAAGCAAGUGAGUGCUGUUCAUGAGGUUGGAGGCGUUUUGCAAUGGUUGUUGUGGAAGAUAAAGCCCAGCCUGAUAUAUGCUCUUUCAAAGGAAGUUCUCAGGAAUAUCCUGUAUAUGGCACCAGACCUCAGACAAUUCAGGUCGCCUGGUCGGCGCUCUGGAUGCAGUGUUGGAUUCCAAUGCACGGGUCGCUCCAUUUCGAAUUCUGCUUCAAGUUCCCGGCUCCCAGGUUUAUUCUCCCAUAGCAUGUGG
rnacentral:sRNA from 1 species